UCUUAGUUCGUGGAGUGAUCUGUCUGCUUAAUUGCGUUUCAAAAUUUAACUUGAGGACCGGGUUUUGGUUUGGCUAGUGGUUCUACGAUGACUGUGAACUGUCAUGUCUUCGGAUGUGCGACUAUUGGUCUAGGAUCACAUGACUUGCCCCUGGGACUCUUUUGAACGCAACGGACGUGAUUGCAACCCCUUGUUGAGAUUAGAGAUAGUCUCGAUAUUCACUGGACAAACUGGCUGCUUUAUGCAGUCUUGUUGAAUGGUGGAUAAACUCGGGGGACUGCUGACUAUAACCAUUUCUCAAAACAGAGGAAGGUUGCGGCAAUAACAGGUCUGUGAUGCCCUCAGAUGUCCCGGGCUGCACACGUGCUACAAUGAGUGGCGCAAUGUGCUAAUGUUUAAGGGAUAAGAGUGUGGUCAGUAGAACGUCGGGAUUUCCCCUGACGUCUCCCCCGCACGAUUAUCAGCCUUCCCUUAACAGGGCGGGCAACCUUUUCAAAAUACUGGUUUGAUGUUAAAGUAUUGAGUCGUUUUUUUUGGAUGGUGGUUUGUUAACCAAUACCAUCCGGCAACUGCUCGCGAGUUUGUGGUUCUGGCGACUCAUGGUGG
rnacentral:rRNA from 1 species